rnacentral:rRNA from 1 species
GGGCCCGCACAAGCAGCGGAGCGUGUGGUUUAAUUCGUAUGUUACACGAGAACCUUACAGGUUUGACAUGCAAGUGGUAGGAAGCCGAAAGGCGACCGACCCUUCGGGAGCUUGCACAGGUGCUGCAUGGCUGUCGUCAGCUCGUGUCGUGAGAUGUUCGGUUAAGUCCGCUAACGAGCGCAACCCUCGCUGUGUGUUACAAGUGUCACACGGUACUGCCGGUCUUAAGCCGGAGGAAGGUGGGGAUGACGUCAAGUCAGCAUGGCCUUUAUGUCCUGGGCUACACACACGCUACAAUGGCCAACACAAUAGGUUGCUAAGCCGCGAGGUGGAGCCAAUCCUCAAAGUUGGUCUCAGUUCAGAUUGCAGGCUGCAACCCGCCUGCAUGAAGAUGGAGUUGCUAGUAACCGCAGGUCAGCUAUACUGCGGUGAAUACGUUCCCGGGGCUU